rnacentral:lncRNA from 1 species
ACCUUUGGUCACACCUGAUCUUGCUAAUUUCUCAUCAAGCAGAACAGCUAGGGCAUCAAAUACACUCAAGCAUAAAGACAAUUCUCUAUAUAAACGAUGUGGGGUACUAAUAUUCAUUUCCAAAUUUUAAAACAAAGGUGACGUUAUGCAAGAAAAUUUAGCUAGCUACCUGAGUUACUUCUCCCAUUAUCUGGUUGGCUUGGCCCUGUUGGUAAUCGGUUAAAGCACAUUCAGAUUC